AUACACAACAUUUGCACCUGUACUCCAUUCUAUUGUUGAACGAUAAAGGUACUUGAAAUGAAAAACUUACUCUAUUUGACAAUUUUUGCUGCCUUCGUGGUGAUGAUAAUGUCUCAUCAUCAUCACACCACAAAAAGUGAUGAAGAGCUUAAGAGUACAAAGAAGAAGGAACCACUUCCAAAUCCUGACGGAGAAAACACAGGCGAGGAGGAGAUAAACAUCCAAAUACCUGAUGUUGAAGGAUCUUGCAGCGGUUAUCAAUGUGCAAACUUCUGCAAAAAGUCUGGGUACUCAUACGGAUACUGUUCAGGAAAUUCAUGCCGCUGCUACUGAUCAUAAAUUGAAAAAAAAAGAUCAAUAAAUAUAUGAAAUUUGGAAAAACA